rnacentral:lncRNA from 1 species
GCAAUUGUUAUUAUAAACUAAUUGCUGCUGCAGACAAGAAACGAAAAGUGGAAUUACUUUUAUAAACUUGUCCUAGAUAAAAAUUGCUCUAUUUAGUGCCCUUUAAAUGGGAAGUGACAGAAUAUAAACUGACCAGACAGUACAGUGGUUGCAUUAUCAGACUGCUGACAUGACCUCUUUUACCUGUUCCCUCUGAUUUAAUGUCAUCAGACACAAGGUGAUUUAGAACAUUCCUGGUAAUAAUGGAGAGGCUGACAGCAGAUGUGUAGAUAUUUCUAAUGCCUUUUUCCUCCCCUAAGGUUUGUUCUUUAGCUAAGGCUGUACUGUGGAGACAAUCAGUGUAUUGCAGAAUGUAAUGACAAUGAGUAGAGAGAGCAGAUUUCAUGGACAGGGGGAAAGCCUUUUUAUUCUUCCAAAAACGGAUUGCUGCCCAGUAAACAUAAAAAAAGGUAGAGCUGUAGUCAUAAGAAACACGGCUGUAGGAGAAGAGCUUCCUCACAGAGUUGGCCUCCACAAGAUAAAGAAAGUCAAUGAUGCACAUCUUACUCCUAGAGAGAGAGACCACCAAGACUGGAAAGAUACUGUGAUAAGGAGGCUAAAGCCCAGAGAAGAUAAGUGGCUGGCACAACAUCACACGGCUGGUCAUUGGAGAACAAAUAAGAGAGUCCCAGGUACCAUGGCUCCAGAAGUUGUGCUCUAAUAUGGAUCCAGUCCUUAGAAAAGGACACUGAGAAAUACCUUCUAUCAAGGGGAUACCAAUGAAGGAGAAAUAAUGAAAAAAGGUCAUACAGCUAGAAAAAGAUGCAGACUACAUUGUCAUGAAAGAGAAGGAUG